rnacentral:rRNA from 1 species
CGGGUGGACCACCAUCCAAGCCUAAAUACUACCUGAUGACCGAUAGAGGAGCAGUACCGUGAGGGAAAGGUGAAAAGGACCCCGGGAGGGGAGUGAAAGAGAACCUGAAACCUUGUGCUUACAAGCACUCAAAGCACGUUAAAGUGUGAUGAGGUACUUUUUGUAGAACGGUCCGGCGAGUUAUAGUAACGAGCAAGGUUAAGCAAUUCAGUUGCGAAGCCGCAGCGAGAGCGAGUCUGAAUAGGGCGCAUGAAGUUCGUUGCCAUAGACCCGAAACCGGGUGACCUAACCAUGAGCAGGCUGAAGUGAGAGUAAAAUCUCAUGGAGGGCCGAACGCACGUUCGUUGCAAUGACCGGCGAUGACUUGUGGUUAGCGGAGAAAUUCCAAUCGAACUCGGAGAUAGCUGGUUCUCCCCGAAAUAGCUUUAGGGCUAGCGUUGAUUUAGAUUACCGGAGGUAAAGCACUGAAUGGGCUAGGGGGCGAUAAGCUUACUGAACCCUAUCAAACUCUGAAUGCCGGCUAAUUGAUGAUCAGCAGUCAGACAGUGUGAGAUAAGUUUCAUUGUCAAAAGGGAAACAGCCCAGACCUACAGCUAAGGUCCCAAAUGUAUGCUAAGUGGAAAACGAUGUGGAGUUGCAAAAACAACCAGGAUGUUGGCUUAGAAGCAGCCAUUCAUUAAAAGAGUUCGUAAUAGAUCACUGGUCGAGUGACUCUGCGCGGAAAAUAUAACGGGGCUAAGCAUGCAACCGAAGCUUAGGAUUGUCGAAAGACAGUGGUAGGGGAGCGUCGUGUACGGGGUGAAGUCUGAGCGGAAGCACAGGUGGACUGUACAGGAGUGAGAAUGCCGGAAUGAGUAGCGAGAAUUAUGUGGGAAUCAUAAUGGCCGAAAAUCUAAGGUUUCUUGGGGAAGGUUCGUCCGCCCAAGGUAAGCCGGGAGCUAAGGCGAGGCCGCAAGGCGUAGUCGAUGCACAUACGGUAGAAAUUCCGUAGCCACCGAACUUUAAACCAGAAGGACACUUGCAGAUAGCGGAACCCAGCCGUUGGUUGAGCUGGGCGAAAGGGACUGAAAUAUAGUAGGGAAGUCCGCGAUGCUGUGAGGCGAGAAAAGCUCUGGUGUAUACUAAGGUGCCCGUACCGCAAACCGACACAGGUAGAUGAGGAGAGAAUCCUAAGGCCAACGGGAGAAGGGUUGUUAAGGAACUCGGCAAAUUGACCCCGUAACUUCGGAAGAAGGGGAGCCUCGAAAGAGGCCGCAGUGAAUAGGCCCAAGCAACUGUUUACCAAAAACACAGGUCUAUGCUAAAUCGAAAGAUGACGUAUAUGGGCUGACGCCUGCCCGGUGCCGGAAGGUUAAGAGGAGAGCUUAGCGCAAGCGAAGGUUUGAAUUGAAGCCCCGGUAAACGGCGGCCGUAACUAUAACGGUCCUAAGGUAGCGAAAUUCCUUGUCAGGUAAGUUCUGACCCGCACGAAUGGCGUAAUGAUUUGGGCACUGUCUCAACAGCCCGCCCGGCGAAA